rnacentral:rRNA from 1 species
UACGGAGGGUGCGAGCGUUAUCCGGAAUUACUGGGUUUAAAGGGUGCGUAGGCGGCCAGGUAAGUCAGGAGUGAAAGUUUGCGGCUCAACCGUAAAAUUGCUUUUGAUACUGCCAGGCUAGAAUUAGGAUGAGGUCAGCGGAAUGUGGCAUGUAGCGGUGAAAUGCAUAGAUAUGCCAUAGAACACCAAUUGCGAAGGCAGCUGGCUAGACCUGGAUUGGCGCUGAGGCACGAAAGCUAGGGGAGCGAACGGG